rnacentral:rRNA from 1 species
UUCCAGACUCCUACGGGAGGCAGCAGUGGGGAAUAUUGCACAAUGGGGGAAACCCUGAUGCAGCGACGCCGCGUGAGCGAUGAAGUAUUUCGGUAUGUAAAGCUCUAUCAGCAGGGAAGAAGAUGACGGUACCUGACUAAGAAGCCCCGGCUAACUACGUGCCAGCAGCCGCGGUAAUACGUAGGGGGCAAGCGUUAUCCGGAUUUACUGGGUGUAAAGGGAGCGUAGACGGCGAUGCAAGCCAGAUGUGAAAGCCCGGGGCUCAACCCCGGGACUGCAUUCGGAACUGUGUGGCUGGAGUGUCGGGGAGGCAGGCGGAAUUCCUAGUGUUGCGGUGAAAUGCGUAGAUAUUAGGAGGGACACCAGUGGCGAAGGCGGCCUGCUGGACGAUGACUGACGUUGAGGCUCGAAAGCGUGGGGAGCAAACAGGAUUAGAUACCCGCGUAAA